GGCGGGUAAACAUAAUAAAUAAUUGUGAUGAGUAUUUUCGCGAACUAACCUGCAAUAUCACUCAAGGGACUCUCUUCUGCUAAGAUAAAUGUUGAUGAGAAAAUUACAUGUUCAUCAAUAGGAAUAACACUACUACAUCCAUAACAGGUAUUUGAACAUGUUAAGCCAUUUGAAACACCAUCUGAUGCCCUUACAAAUAGACAGGAUGGCGUAGAUCUAUCACCAUUGAUGUGAGUGCCUGCUUGUAUGGGUAUGUAUAGUAUGUCUAUCCAAGCAAUCAUCAACCCAUCACCAACCCGAAACUUGAAGGCUCGCUAAGUAUCAUAUAGAAGUUGGAAAAGCAAACAGGUGUCAGAAUGUAGUAGGGAUGCAUAAGCAUGAAUCAGCCAGGUCAGAACCAACAUGAUUGAGCUUAUCCUGAAUGAGAUGCCUGGCUCUGACUCCCCUUCUUUUAAGCAUAGACUCCAUAAGUAGAUGAAAGGACACAAAAGGAGAGAAAGAGAGAAAGGGCAGGAAGCAGUAUGUCAAAGAUCAUGAGAGAAGAAUGUAAAGGCAGCUACAUAUGAUUGCAUGGCCUCCCCCCCGCCGGGAUGAUAAAGUUUUUAAAAGAAACCCCUGGAGCAGUUUGAGAUAACACUCGCCGCG
rnacentral:lncRNA from 1 species